rnacentral:rRNA from 1 species
GACGAACGCUGGCGGCGUGCCUAAUACAUGCAAGUUGAGCGCUGAAGGUUGGUACUUGUACCAACUGGAUGAGCAGCGAACGGGUGAGUAACGCGUGGGGAAUCUGCCUUUGAGCGGGGGACAACAUUGGGAAACGAAUGCUAAUACCGCAUAAAAACUUUAAACACAGGUUUUAAGUUUGAAAGAUGCAAUUGCAUCACUCAAAGAUGAUCCCGCGUUGUAUUAGCUAGUUGGUGAGGUAAAGGCUCACCAAGGCGAUGAUACAUAGCCGACCUGAGAGGGUGGUUGGCCACAUUGGGAGUGAGACACGGCACAAACUCCCUCGGGAGGCAGCAGUAGGGAAUCUUCGGCCAUGGACGAAAGUCUGACCGAGCAAGGCCGCGUGAGUGAAGAAGGUUUUCGGAUCGUAAAACUCUGUUGGUAGAGAAGAACGUUGGUGAGAGUGGAAAGCUCAUCAAGUGACGGUAACUACCCAGAAAGGGACGGCUAACUACGUG